rnacentral:rRNA from 1 species
GACAGAGGGUGCAAACGUUGCUCGGAAUCACUGGGCGUAAAGGGCGCGUAGGCGGACAAGUAAGUCGGGCGUGAAAUCCCUAGGCUCAACCUAGGAACUGCACUCGAAACUGCAUGUCUUGAGUACCGGAGAGGAAAGCGGAAUACCUGGUGUAGAGGUGAAAUUCGUAGAUAUCAGGUGGAACACCAGUGGCGAAGGCGGCUUUCUGGACGGUAACUGACGCUGAGGCGCGAAAGCGUGGGGAGCAAACAGGAUUAGAAACCCCCGUAGUCC